rnacentral:rRNA from 1 species
AGAGUUUGAUCCUGGCUCAGGAUGAACGCUGGCGGCGUGCCUAACACAUGCAAGUCGAGCGAUUCUCUUCGGAGAAGAGCGGCGGACGGGUGAGUAACGCGUGGGUAACCUGCCCUGUACACACGGAUAACAUACCGAAAGGUAUGCUAAUACGGGAUAACAUAAGAAAUUCGCAUGUUUUUCUUAUCAAAGCUCCGGCGGUACAGGAUGGACCCGCGUCUGAUUAGCUAGUUGGUGAGGUAAUGGCUCACCAAGGCGACGAUCAGUAGCCGACCUGAGAGGGUGAUCGGCCACAUUGGAACUGAGACACGGUCCAAACUCCUACGGGAGGCAGCAGUGGGGAAUAUUGCACAAUGGGCGAAAGCCUGAUGCAGCAACGCCGCGUGAGCGAUGAAGGCCUUCGGGUCGUAAAGCUCUGUCCUCAAGGAAGAUAAUGACGGUACUUGAGGAGGAAGCCCCGGCUAACUACGUGCCAGCAGCCGCGGUAAUACGUAGGGGGCUAGCGUUAUCCGGAUUUACUGGGCGUAAAGGGUGCGUAGGCGGUCUUUUAAGUCAGGAGUGAAAGGCUACGGCUCAACCGUAGUAAGCUCUUGAAACUGGAGGACUUGAGUGCAGGAGAGGAGAGUGGAAUUCCUAGUGUAGCGGUGAAAUGCGUAGAUAUUAGGAGGAACACCAGUGGCGAAGGCGGCCUGCUGGACUGUUACUGACACUGAGGCACGAAAGCGUGGGGAGCAAACAGGAUUAGAUACCCUGGUAGUCCACGCCGUAAACG